UUAAAUUUUUGAAGUUAUUUUAGCUUUUUUGUUGGGUGAAAUCAGUGUAAAGAGUUUUUCUUUCUUUUAAAAUUAAUAGGAAUUAAAAAACUUUGACUUAAAACCAGGAUUAGAUACCCUGUUAUUCUAAGUUAUAUUUAGACAGGGUAGUAAAAGUUGUUCUUCAAACCCAAAGAUUUUGGCGGCACUUUAUCCAAAUAGAGGAGCUUGUCACUUAAUCGAUAGUCCCCGUUUUAUCUUUCCUCUGUUUGUAGAGCUUGUAUACCGCCGUUGUCAGAUUACUUUUACAGAAUGUUUUCAAGUUAAAAGACUUUUUUACUUCAGGUCAAGGUGCAGUUUAUAUAGAGGUGUAGAUGAGCUACAAUUUUCUUUAGAAAUACGGAUUUCAAGCCUCGAAGCUGGCUGAAGGUGGAUUUAUUAGUAAAGUAA
rnacentral:rRNA from 1 species